rnacentral:rRNA from 1 species
AUUGAACGCUGGCGGCAGGCCUAACACAUGCAAGUCGAGCGAGCGGCGUACUGGUGAGUAAUGUAUGUGGAUGUGCCAGACCUAGGGGGCUAACUACUGUAAACGGUGGCUAAUACCGCAUACUACCUGCUGAACCCAUAUGGGAUUAGCUAGUAGGUGGGGUAAAGGCUCACCUAGACGACGCUCUCUAGCUGGUCUGAGAGGAGGAUCAGCCACACUGGGACUGAGACACGGCCCAGAGUCCUACGGGAGGCAGCAGUGGGGAAUAUUGCACAAUGGGCGAAAGCCUGAGGCAGCCAUGCCGCGUGUAUGAAGAAGGCCUUAGGGUGGUAAAGUACUUUAAGCGGGGAGGCGUUACCUGCAGAAGAAGCACCGGCUAACUCCGUGCCAGCAGCCGCGGUAAUUC